rnacentral:rRNA from 1 species
UACGGAGGGUGCGAGCGUUUGUCCGGAAUCAUUGGGCGUAAAGGGCGCGUAGGUGGCCACUUCAAGCGUGCGGUGAAAGUCGGGGGCUCAACCCCUGAUCGGCCGUGCGAACUGGGGGCUGGAGCACUGUAGAGGCAGGCGGAAUUCCGGGUGUAGGCGGUGGAAUGCGUAGAGAGUCCGGCAAGAACGACCGGUGGCGAAGGC